rnacentral:rRNA from 1 species
GACGAACGCUGGCGGCGUGCUUAACACAUGCAAGUCGAACGGAAAGGCCCUGCUUGCCGGGUACUCGAGUGGCGAACGGGUGAGUAACACGUGGGUAAUCUGCCCUGCACUUCGGGAUAAGCCUGGGAAACUGGGUCUAAUACCGGAUAGGAGCCAUUUUUAGUGUGAUGGUUGGAAAGUUUUUUCGGUGUAGGAUGAGCUCGCGGCCUAUCAGCUUGUUGGUGGGGUAAUGGCCUACCAAGGCGGCGACGGGUAGCCGGCCUGAGAGGGUGGACGGCCACAUUGGGACUGAGAUACGGCCCAGACUCCUACGGGAGGCAGCAGUGGGGAAUAUUGCACAAUGGGCGCAAGCCUGAUGCAGCGACGCCGCGUGGGGGAUGACGGCCUUCGGGUUGUAAACUCCUUUCGCUAGGGACGAAGCUUUUUGUGACGGUACCUAGAUAAGAAGCACCGGCUAACUACGUG